rnacentral:rRNA from 1 species
GAGUAAUGCCUGGGAAAUUGCCCUGAUGUGGGGGAUAACCAUUGGAAACGAUGGCUAAUACCGCAUGAUAGCUUCGGCUCAAAGAGGGGGACCUUCGGGCCUCUCGCGUCAGGAUAUGCCCAGGUGGGAUUAGCUAGUUGGUGAGGUAAUGGCUCACCAAGGCGACGAUCCCUAGCUGGUCUGAGAGGAUGAUCAGCCACACUGGAACUGAGACACGGUCCAGACUCCUACGGGAGGCAGCAGUGGGGAAUAUUGCACAAUGGGCGCAAGCCUGAUGCAGCCAUGCCGCGUGUGUGAAGAAGGCCUUCGGGUUGUAAAGCACUUUCAGUCGUGAGGAAGGUGGUGUUGUUAAUAGCACUAUCAUUUGACGUUAGCGACAGAAGAAGCACCGGCUAACUCCGUGCCAGCAGCCGCGGUAAUACGGAGGGUGCGAGCGUUAAUCGGAAUUACUGGGCGUAAAGCGCAUGCAGGUGGUUUGUUAAGUCAGAUGUGAAAGCCCGGGGCUCAACCUCGGAAUAGCAUUUGAAACUGGCAAGCUAGAGUACUGUAGAGGGGGGUAGAAAUUUCAGGUGUAGCGGUGAAAAUGCGUAGAGAUCUGAAGGAAUACCCGGUGGGCGAAAGGCGGCCCCCCUGGGACAGAUACUUGACACUCAGAAUGCGAAAGCGUGGGGAGCAAAACAGGAUUUAGAAUACCCCUGGGUAGUCCAACGCC